rnacentral:snRNA from 1 species
UUACUCUGGUCUCUUUUCAAAACGCAUAAAUCUUUCGCCUUUUACUAAAGAUUUCCGUGGAGAGGGACUAUUUGAUGAGUCUAAAUCAAAUUUUUUGACUUGGUUCUGUUUUACUACAGAACC